rnacentral:rRNA from 1 species
GACGAACGCUGGCGGCGUGCUUAACACAUGCAAGUCACGGGGGUCCCGCAAGGGAUAACCGGCGAACGGGUGCGUAACACGUGACCAACCUGCCCUCGUGUGGGGGAUAGCCGGGCUAACGCCCGGGUAAUACCGCAUACGGUCCUUGAGAGGAGUCUCUUGGGGAAGAAAGCUCCGGCGCACGGGGAGGGGUCGCGGCCUAUCAGCUAGGUUGGGGGGU